rnacentral:misc_RNA from 1 species
AUUUAGGUGAGGCAUUUCGUCAAACAGCUUACGUGCACGAUGAUCCAUUUUCGCUCUGCCAUAGAGAAGAAUAAGACGGGCAACAAAGGCUUCGUUUUACUGGCAUAGAGUUUCCGCAACCAGGCUUCAGGCCAGCGGAACGGAUUGAAGAAACAGGUCGCCGUUUAGCUGAUUAUGCUCGAUCCUUUAAUGUUCCAUUUGAAUACCAUGCAAUUGCAAAGAAAUGG